UUCCAGUUAGCCUAGUGGUUAAGGCUUUGGAUCGCCAAUCCGGAGACGGUGGGUUCGAUUCCCGUGCCGGACG
rnacentral:tRNA from 1 species